AUGUUAUUUAAAAAAAUACAUAUAAUCUCUCCUAUGCUAGAAAAAUAUAAAAGGGCCCAGCUUUGUUAGUGCAGGAAGUUAAAAAGGCCUUUAUUACACUCUACACACUUACACACUUUAUUAACAUUCCUAAUUGUUGCAGAAAAAUGAUCACUUCAGGGUCAAACUUCA